GUUUUCGGGUAAUUGCGGCAUAACUCGAUUAUGCUGAGGAAAGUCCAUGCUCGCACAAGCUGAGACGCUUGUAGUGUUCGUGCCUAGCGAAACCAUAAGCUAGGGUACUUGAGAAAGUAACGGCAGGAAAAAUGGCUAAGGUGCAAGCUAUGCCAAAGUAUCCUUGAAAGUGCCACAGUGACGAAGCAAGCCGGGAAACCGUCUUGGUGGAACGCGGUAAACCCCUCGAGCGAGCAACCCAAACAAUGGUAGGGGCACUUUUUGCACGGAAAUGAACGGAGCAAGAAGGCAAGUAAUUGCAGAUAGAUAAUUACCCAGUGUUUUCUUCUCCUGAGGAAAAUACGGACAAAACAUGGCUUAUAGAA
rnacentral:RNase_P_RNA from 1 species